UGGCUCAGGACGAACGCUGGCGGCGUGCUUAACACAUGCAAGUCGAGCGGAAAGGCCCCUUCGGGGGUACUCGAGCGGCGAACGGGUGAGUAACACGUGAGUAACCUGCCCCUGACUCUGGGAUAAGCCUGGGAAACCGGGUCUAAUACCGGAUACGACCACUCCGGGCAUCCGGUGGUGGUGGAAAGAUUUUUUCGGUCGGGGAUGGGCUCGCGGCCUAUCAGCUUGUUGGUGGGGUGACGGCCUACCAAGGCGACGACGGGUAGCCGGCCUGAGAGGGCGACCGGCCACACUGGGAUUGAGACACGGCCCAGACUCCUACGGGAGGCAGCAGUGGGGA
rnacentral:rRNA from 1 species